ACCAAGUCCUUGUCAGCCUCUAUAAAUUCCCUCAGAGCCUCCCUCUCCAAUAUAUCCCACCAAAGUUAGAUUACUUUUACAUGCCAUGUCUUCCAUUGGAGCUGCUUGUGCUCAGGUGUACUUGAUGAAAAAGAGGCAGGAGGAAAAGAUGAAGAAAGCUGAAGAAGAAAGAAGUAACACAGGAGGGUUUAAAGAGAGGAAAGUUGGUGGUGGUUAUUCAUCAACUGGAGCGUGGAGCAACAAAAAGGUUCAUCCAGGCAACUAUUUUCCAGGAACUACCUCUGCAGCAAAACAAGGAGAGUAAUGUUUGGUGAAAAUGGAAGCUCUCUUCAUUUUCUUGUAAAAUUAAU
rnacentral:misc_RNA from 1 species